rnacentral:rRNA from 1 species
AAUUCGAUUGAGUUUGAUCAUGGCUCAGGACAAACGCUGGCGGCGUACCUAAGACAUGCAAGUCUAACGGGGGAUGGACCCUUCGGGGACCAUCUCGAGUGGCGAACGGGUGAGUAACACGUAGGAACCUGACGUUUGGUGGGGGAUAACGCUGGGAAACCGGCGCUAAUACCGCAUGAGGUCCUCUGCAAAGGGGAGCAAAGCAGCAAUGCGCCAGAUGAGGGGCCUGUGGCCGAUUAGCUAGUUGGUGAGGUAAAGGCCCACCAAGGCGACGAUCGGUAGCUGGUCUGAGAGGAUGGUCAGCCACACUGGGACUGAGACACGGCCCAGACUCCUACGGGAGGCAGCAGUUAGGAAAUUUUCGCAAUGGGGGAAACCCUGACGGAGUAACGCCGCGUGGAGGAUGACGGCUUUCGGGUUGUAAACUCCUUUUCUGUGGGAAGAGUAGAAGACGGUACCGCAGGAAGAAGCCUCGGCUAACUACGUGCCAGCAGCCGCGGUAAUACGUAGGAGGCGAGCGUUGUCCGGAAUUACUGGGCGUAAAGAGCGCGUAGGCGGCACUGUACGACCGGUGUGAAAGCCCCCGGCUUAACUGGGGAGGGUCACCGGUAACGGCAGAGCUAUGAGUACAGGAGAGGGAAGUGGAACUCCGGGAGUAGCGGUGAAAUGCGUAGAUACCCGGAGGAACACCAGUGGCGAAGG